rnacentral:rRNA from 1 species
UUAGGAAUAUUCGGCAAUGGGGGAAACCCUGACCGAGCAAUGCCGCGUGUGAGAUGACGGCCCUAUGGGUUGUAAAUCACUUUUAUUUGGGAAGAAUUGUAAGCAUAGGAAAUGAUGUUUACUUGACGGUACCUUUUGAAUAAGCCCCGGCUAACUACGUGCCAGCAGCCGCGGUAAUACGUAGGGGGCGAGCGUUAUCCGGAUUUAUUGGGCGUAAAGCGUGCGUAGGCGGCUUGUUAAGUCCAGAAUUAAAGCCCGAGGCUUAACCUCGGUUCGUUCUGGAUACUGGCAAGCUUGAGUAUGGUAGAGGCAAAUGGAAUUCCUAGUGUAGCGGUGAAAUGCGUAGAUAUUAGGAGGAACACCAGUGGCGAAGGCGAUUUGCUGGGCCAUCACUGACGCUGAGGUACGAAAGCGUGGGUAGCAAAUAGG